rnacentral:rRNA from 1 species
UACAGAGGUCUCAAGCGUUGUUCGGAUUCAUUGGGCGUAAAGGGCGCGCAGGCGGUCCUUCAAGUCAGAUGUGAAAGCCCCGGGCUCAACCUGGGAACUGCAUUUGAGACUGGAGGACUUGAGGACGGGAGAGGAGAGUGGAAUUCCCAGUGUAGAGGUGAAAUUCGUAGAUAUUGGGAAGAACACCGAUGGCGAAGGCAGCUCUCUGGACCGUUACUGACGCUGAGGCGCGAAAGCGUGGGGAGCAAACAGG